rnacentral:rRNA from 1 species
CACGGGGGUUGCGAGCGUUGUCCGGAAUUACUAGGCGUAAAGGGCAGGCAGGCGGAUCCAUAAGUUUAUCGUUUAAGGCGUCGGCUUAACCGGCGUAGGGCGGUAGAUACUGUGGAUCUGGAAUGCGGUUGGGGAAGACAGAAUUCCUGGUGUAGCAGUGAAAUGCGUAGAUAUCAGGAGGAACACCGAUGGCGAAGGCAGCCCCCUGGGCCUGUACUGACGCUCAUGCACGAAAGCGUGGGGAGCAAACAGGAUUAGAUACCCGCGUAGUCCCU